CACAUUUCCAAACAUUAGUAUGAUUUCUUCAAAUUUGCAAAUAUCUCUCCAUUUCAUCCCUAAUAAUAUAUAUUAUAUAAAACACUUGGGGAUUAUUUGUGUGUAUAUUCUGUUUGCAUGAAUUUGAAAUACUUCUCUGACUUAGAAAGCUGAAAUUUGGAGAUGCUAUAGAAAGGUCACUGAACUGGGCCCUUCUAUAAGAAUAAAAAAAUAUAUAGUAAUUCAAAAAUUCAUCUCGGAGAAAAGAAGGGAAGCUAAAAUCUCAAAAGUUUAUUUCAUGGCUUAAAAUUAUUUUUUGAUUGAGUAUUUCUUGUUGAGAAAAAUAUCCAUUCACAUUUUGAUUGAAAAAUUAUUCAAAAAGAGACCAUAAAAAUAGCAACCCUCAAAUUUGCCAGAUAUUUGAUGUUUGUUCUACCUUAACAAAAACUAGUAUUUGGGGUUUUUGGGCUACAGACUAAGAAAUCUGAUGGUAGUUUUUUUCAAAUUUAAAAUGGCAGAUCCAAUAUGAAUGACCUGAAUUCAAUGGAUGUUUUAAUCUAGUCCGAUCUUUGUGUUGUCAACUAGAUAGGGGGUUUUGAAAUUACAAAUUAGAAAUCUAAUGAUUGUCAUUUUGAAUUUAAAAAAAAACUUAACGUUUAAAAGUUUCAAUAUUUUAUAUAUGUUUUCUUUUUGUAAAUUCAUAAUCAUUUGUCAGAUCACAUUAAGCCACCUUAUUUUAAGUAUUAAGAGAAAUAAAAUAAUCCUGCACAAGGCAGAAUGUACAGGGUUAUUUUGUCUCUGUCACAAAGUGGCAGAAUGUUUAGUUAAAUGUUAAUAAGCUAAGGUUAUGAUGAAAAUUUCAAGUUUUUAGUGUGAGAAAAAUCCUUGAGCAACUAAUCAAUGUUGAAAUGAUUGUAGUGUUUUUUACA
rnacentral:lncRNA from 1 species